CACACAUGCCAGAAUAACGCCGAGCCACUGCAUUCGCCAACGCUCGUGUUUUUACAAAACGGAUGAACGCAGCCAUGCAUUUCCAGCAAUGGCUGUUGAGGAGCUGAACUGAUAUUGCGUGGACUGCCUGCUCUGUACAAAUCUGUGGCUGUCAAGAUGUGUGGAUCUUUGUCUGCGAUAUCUCUGCAAGUCUGGGUGACGCUGACGCUGCUCUC